rnacentral:rRNA from 1 species
UGCCCCGAGAUGAGUUCUCCCUGAGACUAUAAGUCUCCUGAAGGAACGUUGAAGACGACGACGUUGAUAGGCCGGGUGUGUAAGCGCAGCGAUGCGUUGAGCUAACCGGUACUAAUGAACCGUGAGGCUUAACCUU